ACUCCUACGGGAGGCAGCAGUGGGGAAUAUUGCACAAUGGGCGCAAGCCUGAUGCAGCCAUGCCGCGUGUGUGAAGAAGGCCUUCGGGUUGUAAAGCACUUUCAGUCGUGAGGAAGGUGNGUGUAUANNGCAUAUUUGACGUUAGCGACAGAAGAAGCACCGGCUAACUCCGUGCCAGCAGCCGCGGUAAUACGGAGGGUGCGAGCGUUAAUCGGAAUUACUGGGCGUAAAGCGCAUGCAGGUGGUUUGUUAAGUCAGAUGUGAAAGCCCGGGGCUCAACCUCGGAAUAUGAC
rnacentral:rRNA from 1 species